UCUAUGGAAAGUCCAGACUUGACGUAAGUGAUUUUUCUGCUGGCUAAGCAGGGGUAUUGCAGUUUGGGACGCAUAUGCGUCCAAACCUGUGGUGAACUUUGCAUUAGCUUUAUGAACAAUUCUCCUUUACCAUCGCCGUGAUCCAAAAAGUUUGCUUUUCUCUUUUGUUCCAUGGCUAUUCCUGACUAAGUCUUCAUUUGUACUAGCAUUAUACAAGGGGAAAUCGCUGAUUGUAAGGACGUGUACUUUGACGUGGGAAUUAUCUUAUCUCUACAGAAAGUCCAGACUUGACAUGAAUUCCCUCAAGAAAAGGACAUCUGAACGAUCUCACUGGUACAGAUAAGCGUGUAGGCCUGGGUCUGACGUUUCCUUUCCCGAACAUAAAUGCACAUGUUUUUCAUCCCUGGAGAAGUCCACAUUCCAGGGUCCAGAUGUGCUGGGAAGGGCCAGAGAGAAAAUGGAGAGCUGGAAACCCCCAGAUUGCAAUGGAAUGUCCCCCAAAUUUCAGAUUCCAUCUCGGUUUAUCGGAAUAAAUUCAGAGCUCUCGAAAAAUGUUCUCACUGAAUUGUAUUGGUGGGUGGAAGUCCCUGAAUGUACAGUUUAGCUUAUUUUAGGAUAUUUAUUGCAAAUAUUAUGUCUUUAAUCUAAUAUGUUUUUUAUUGUACAACAUUUUAUAUCACCUGUCUGCUUUUUUAGAUUCUAGUAUUCAUGUAUUCUGGUGACCUUCUACAUCCACAAAGAAUUUGUGAUCUUAGUCACUGUGCAGAAUCCCCGAUAGUUAUCAAUGACGAAUUGGUAGUGAUCCGCUCUUUGUCAUAACUCUUAG